AGACAAAAACUGAUCUGAUGCCUGAAUAAAUAUUUCAGGUCAUGAUCCUGUCACAUUAGGUCGAUCGGUACCUCAAGUUUAUUUACAUAGAGAUGAAAAAUCAUUUUUUUGUAAAUAGCUCUCAGUUCCUAAACUUUGUCUAGGUCACACCCAACAAGGGUACUCCUGGGCCAUUAGCUCAGGUGGUUAGAGCGCACCCCUGAUAAGGGUGAGGUCCCUGGUUCAAGUCCAGGAUGGCCCAUUCGGUGUUGGGGGUAUAGCUCAGUUGGUAGAGCGCCUGCUUUGCAAGCAGGAUGUCAGCGGUUCGAGUCCGCUUACCUCCACUGAUUACUUACCUGACACGAAAACUCAUUAGGAGAUUUUUGUUUGGAUUUGAUUUAGACUUUGUUCCUGUUGAAUGAGAACCCAGCUUCUUAUCAUCGAUCUGUAUAACUUUCAAAUUACUGAUCUGUUGAUAUGACGCUGGGCUCACUGCAAUUUCUAAUUGCAGAGAAGCUCAGAAGAACCUUGACAACUGCAUAGAUUAAGUCUGGAAAGAAUAAAGCAUCUCAUGGAUGCAUUAUCCUUGGACCAGAAAAGGAUUGCUUAUAUUUAAGUAAUCUUUUCUGGAAAUCAGGUUUAAUGUUUAAUUCUUGAGCGAGAGCAAAACUAAUAACUCUAGUGGGUUUUAAAUUUAAAACUUGUCUAGAGAAAAAU
rnacentral:tRNA from 1 species